CAUUUUGUGAAGAGACGGAGACUGAGCGGUCGGUGCCGCGUUGCUGACCUCGAGCAGCAGUCAACUCCACGUAGAACCUGGGAGCAGGGGAUUCGGAAUCGAAUCUCUUCUCUCACCUCUCCUGUGAGAUUUUUUUGAUCUUCAGCUAUAGUUUUUGUCACUGUAAGCAACUUUAUCAUCAAACACAAUGGCUAGCAAUGUUACCAACAAGACAGAUCCUCGCUCCAUGAAUUCCCGUGUGUUCAUUGGGAAUCUGAACACUCUGGUGGUGAAGAAAUCUGAUGUGGAGGCCAUCUUCUCGAAGUAUGGCAAAAUUGUGGGUUGCUCCGUUCAUAAGGGCUUUGCCUUUGUCCAGUAUGUUAAUGAGAGAAAUGCUCGGGCUGCUGUAGCUGGAGAGGAUGGCAGAAUGAUUGCUGGCCAGGUUUUAGAUAUUAAUCUGGCUGCAGAGCCAAAAGUGAACAGAGGAAAAGCAGGUGUGAAACGAUCUGCAGCGGAGAUGUACGGCUCCUCUUUUGACUUGGACUAUGACUUUCAACGUGAUUAUUAUGACAGGAUGUACAGUUACCCAGCACGUGUUCCUCCACCUCCUCCUAUUGCUCGGGCUGUAGUGCCCUCGAAACGCCAGCGUGUAUCAGGAAACACCUCCCGAAGAGGCAAAAGUGGCUUCAAUUCUAAGAGUGGCCAGCGUGGAUCUUCAUCCAAGUCUGGAAAGUUGAAAGGUGAUGAUCUUCAGGCCAUUAAGAAGGAGUUGACCCAGAUAAAACAAAAAGUGGAUUCUUUACUGGAAAGCCUAGAAAAAAUUGAAAAGGAACAGAGCAAACAAGCAGUGGAGAUGAAGAAUGAUAAGACCGAAGAGGAGCAGACUACCACCUCCCAAAAGAAAGAUGAGACUAAUGUGAAGAUGGAAUCUGAGGGUGCUGCGGAUGAUUCUGCUGAGGAGGGGGAUCUACUGGAUGAUGAUGAAAAUGAAGAUCGGGCGGAGGACCAGGUGAAAACGCUGGAGUUGAUCAAGGAUGAUGAAAAAGAGGCUGAGGAAGGAGAGGAUGACAGAGACAGCGCCAAUGGCGAGGAUGACUCUUAAGCACAUAGUUUGGUUUAGAAGUCUUGUCCCAUUAUUUCUUUAUCUAGGCGCUUGUCUAAGAUCAAAAUUUCACCAGAUCCUCUCCCCUAGUAUCUUCAGCACAUGCUCACGGUUCUCCCUGUGUCCUACCAUGUUCAUAAUUGCCCUGCGCCUAGUACCAUUUUCACUUCCUCUGAUGCUCCUAGUAGUUUUGUUAAGUCUUCUCCUGUAAUUUUUGCUUUUUAAUUUUGACACCUCUUUAUGACUUAACAAUAAAAAGGUUGUAUGGUUUUUAAAAAAAAAAAUAAAUAAAAAAAUAAAA